GACGAACGCUGGCGGCGUGCUUAACACAUGCAAGUCGAACGAUGAACUUGGAGCUUGCUCUGGGGGAUUAGUGGCGAACGGGUGAGUAACACGUGAGUAACCUGCCCUGGACUCUGGGAUAACUUCGAGAAAUCGGAGCUAAUACCGGAUAGGACCUUGCACCGCAUGGUGUGGGGUGGAAAGUUUUUCGGUUUGGGAUGGACUCGCGGCCUAUCAGCUUGUUGGUGAGGUAAUGGCUCACCAAGGCGUCGACGGGUAGCCGGCCUGAGAGGGUGACCGGCCACACUGGGACUGAGACACGGCCCAGACUCCUACGGGAGGCAGCAGUGGGGAGUUUUGCACAAUGGGCGCAAGCCUGAUGCAGCAACGCCGCGUGCGGGAUGACGGCCUUCGGGUUGUAAACCGCUUUUAGUAAGGAAGAAGCCUUCGGGUGACGGUACCUGCAGAAAAAGGACCGGCUAACUACGUGCCAGCAGCCGCCGUAACAC
rnacentral:rRNA from 1 species